GAUAGCUGGUUCUCCUCGAAAUAGCUUUAGGGCUAGCCUUGUGUAGUAGUAUAUGGGGGUAGAGCACUGACUGAGGUAGGGGCCUAACCAGGUUACCAAACUCUAUCAAACUCCGAAUACCGUAUAUGUAAGCACAGGAGUCAGACUGCGGGAGCUAAGUUCCGUGGUCAAAAGGGAAAGAGCCCAGAUCGUCAAUUAAGGUCCCAAAGAUAUAGCUAAGUGGCAAACGAUGUGAUUUUGCGUAAACAACCAGGAUGUUGGCUUAGAAGCAGCCAUACAUUUAAAGAGUGCGUAAUAGCUCACUGGUCGAGUGAAGUUGCGCGGAAAAUUACCGGGGCUAAGCUAUACACCGAAAUUGCGGAUUUACACUUGAAAGAUAGUGUAAGUGGUAGAGGAGCAUUCUGUAGUAGGGAGAAGCAAAAGCGAGAGCAUUUGUGGACGAGGCAGAAGAGAGAAUGCUGGAAUAAGUAGCGAGAGCAAGGUGAGAAUCCUUGCCGUCGAAAGUCUAAGGUUUCCUGGGGAAGGUUCGUCCGCCCAGGGUAAGUCGGGACCUAAGGUGAGGCUGAAAAGCGUAGCCGAUGGAUAGCAGGUUGAGAUUCCUGCACUAUAGAUAUACUUAAAAGAUGCAAGGGACGCAGGAGUGGAAGAUAAGCGAGGAAGAGGAAAGACUCGUAUCGCAAGAUAUAGUGAAAAUAAAGUAACGAAUUAUCAAGAAGCACACUGACGAGAAAAGCUUGUAGAUAUUGUAUAUAAAUACCCGUACCGCAAACCGACACAGGUAGAUGAGGAGAGGAUCCUAAGACGAGCGGGAGAAGCAUUGUUAAGGAACUCGGCAAAUUGACCCCGUAACUUAGGGAGAAGGGGUGCCAAGGUAGAACUUGGCCGCAGUGAAGAGGUUCAAGCAACUGUUUAACAAAAACACAGGUUUCUGCUAAAUCGAAAGAUGAAGUAUAGGAGCUGACGCCUGCCCAGUGCUGGAAGGUCAAAGGGAAGUGUUAGUAAAAACUUACGAAGCACAGAACUCAAGCCCCAGUGAACGGCGGCCGUAACUAUAACGGUCCUAAGGUAGCGAAAUUCCUUGUCAGGUAAGUUCUGACCCGCACGAAAGGCGUAAUGAUUUGAACACUGUCUCGACAAUGUACCCGGCGAAAUUGUAGUACUAGUGAAGAUGCUAGUUACCUGCGACAAGACAGAAAGACCCCAUGGAGCUUUACUGCAGCUUGAUACUGGGUUUUGGUAAUUUAUGUACAGGAUAGGUGGGAUACGAAGAAGCAAGUGCGCCAGCAUUUGUGGAGUAGACGUUGGGAUACCACUCUUAAAUUAUUGAAAUUCUAACCUGUGAUCAUGAACUGGUCAGGGGACAAUGUCAGGCGGGCAGUUUGACUGGGGCGGUCGCCUCCUAAAGAGUAACGGAGGCGCCCAAAGGUUUCCUCAGCACGGACAGAAAUCGUGCAAAAGAGUGUAAAGGCAGAAGGAAGCUUAACUGGGAGACUGACAAGUCGAGCAGAUACGAAAGUAGGGCUUAGUGAUCCGGCGGUAGUGAGUGGAAAUGCCG
rnacentral:rRNA from 1 species